GUCACUUGCCUGUGUCCAGGAGAGGAAGCAGAGCUACCUUAGAGAGGAAGUAUCUUGAUGCGGCAAAGGGAAGGGAAUGGCAAACAGAGGAUCACCUUUGACCCACCGAGCUGCAUGAACUCAGUGCGGAGAUGGAACCCAGGCCCUCACACAAGCUAAGCAAGUGUUAUACCACGGAACCACACCCCCAGCCUGAGACCAUGUUUUAAGACUAUUGGUUUUUCACUUACAAAACAUCAUUACUUUUUGAAUGGGUGUAUGUAGGUAGUCUUUUUUUUUAAAUAAUUACUUAAUUUUUAAAUUAUGUUCCAAUAUUUAUUUAA